AUGGAGUUGAUGGCCACCUCAUACUUUAAGGAGGUGUUUACGAAGGACCCAACUCUGUCUCCGGAAACGGUUCUUGAAAGGAUAGUACCAAAAGUGACAAAUGAGAUGCACACAACCUUGUGUAGACCAUUAACGGAGGAAGAGGUGUCCGAUGCGCUGUUCCAAAUAGGACCGCUAAAAGCAACAGGCACGGAUGGGUUCCCUGCGCGGUUCUAUCAGCGGAAUUGGGCUGUUAUGAAAGGUGAGAUUACAGCGGCAGUUAUGGAGUUCUUUACCACAGGAGUCAUGCCGGAGGGGGUGAACGAUACGGCUAUUGUUCUAAUCCCGAAGGUUCCGGUCCCUAAGGAGCUCAAGGAUUUUCGUCCAAUAAGUUUGUGUAACGUGAUCUACAAGAUUGUGUCUAAGUGUUUGGUUAACAGAUUAUGA
rnacentral:rRNA from 1 species